rnacentral:rRNA from 1 species
CCCUUAGAUGUCCUGGGCCGCACGCGCGUUACACUGAUGCACUCAACGAGCAUAUAACCUUGGCCGAGAGGCCUGGGUAAUCUUGUUAACAUGCAUCGUGAUAGGGAUAGAUUAUUGCAAUUAUUAAUCUUGAACGAGGAAUUCCUAGUAAUCGCAGAUCAUCAAUCUGCAAUGAUUACGUCCCUGCCCUUUGUACACACCGCCCGUCGCACCUACCGAUUGAAUGGUCCGGUGAGGACUCGGGAUUGUGGUUUGGCUCCUUCAUUGGGGCCUGACUGUGAGAACUUGUCCAAACCUUAUCAUUUAGAGGAAGGUGAAGUCGUANCA